CUCUCUCCUUCUCUGAGUUCUGCUUUUGCGGUUUCCUUUUUCGCCUCCUCCUUCCUCCAACUAAGUCUCCGACUUGCCGUUGGCACUUGUAUCACUCUCUCUAUAUACAUGCUAUAGUCAACCAGUCAAAAAGAUCUUCUUCCAAGGAAUCCUUCUUUAUCUUUCCUUCUUCCCUUCUCGGUGAGUGAGGAGGUGGAAUUCCUUUCCUCCGCCAUGAAUUUCCACCUCAAUAACCACAAUUCUUCCCCCUCUUCCUCCAAUUCCUCCUCCACCCCUAAUCCCCUCAGGGAUACUCCAUCUGCCUCCCUCACCACCACCACUACCACGGCUACCGCCGCCGACGACCCAAUGCACUCCUGGUGGGAAUCUAUUUCCAAGGCCCGCUCUCGCAUCCAUGCCCUCGCCAACAUCCUACCUCCUUCUUCCUCUGAUUCUCUCAUGACCCUCGCCGAUUCUGACCGCCCUGCCCUCUCUCUCCUCUCCUCCCCCGUUGCCUACUCCGCCGUCGCUGAUUCUCUCUAUUCCCCUGAAUCUGGCGCCGGUUCCGAUCCCCUCUGCCACUGGCUUUACGAUACCUUCCUUUCCUCUGACCCACAUCUCCGUCUCGUCGUUCUUUCGUAUCUGCCCCUUCUCUGUGGUCUCUACCUCACUCGAAUCCACAAUUCCUCUUCCGAUUCAACUUCGCUUCCUUCUCUGUCUGGCUUCGAGGCUGUUCUCUUGGCUCUCUAUGCUUCUGAGACCAAAUCUCGUGGGGGAAAACCUGUUGUGGUUACAAUUCCGGAUCUGUCGCAGCCUUCUAUUUACCACACGCCGAUGAAGAAACCUGGUGGUAAUGGGGUUAACCAAACUAGGCCUUCCGUUGGGGUUAUGUCUGCUCCGCUUGAGCCUAUGGUUGCGGUGAAAUCGACCAAAAGGGCUUGCAUUGUUGGGGUCGCGCUUGAUUGUUACUACAAGCAGAUCUCCCAGAUGCCUAGUUGGUCUAAGCUUGAAUUUUGCCAAUUUGCUGCUGGUUGGGCUGGGCAGGAUUGUCCCUGUAAGGGAGAGUUUGAUGGUGGGGAGGAAAUUAACGCUAACGGGCUUUCCAAUGGUCUGGAUUUGAAGGAGGAGGAGGAUGAAAUUGAAGAGGAAGUCACGAAAGAGAUGGAAAAUUUGGCUAUUCAGAGGUAUGAUUUUGCUCCUGAAUCUUCCAAAGGGGCCAGAAUUCCACUUCCUUGGGAGCUUUUGCAGCCAGUGUUGAGAAUCCUGGGGCACUGCUUGUUGGCCCCAUUGAACUCUCAGGAGGUCAAGGAUUCUGCCUCAGUUGCAGUAAGAUGUUUAUACGCGAGGGCCUCUCAUGAUUUGGUGCCGCAGGCAAUUCUGGCUUCAAGGAGUCUCAUACAGCUCGAUAAGAGGGCUCGGGAGUCUGCCAAGGCAGUGGCUGCAACUGCAAAUGCGUCAUCAAAUGCUAACACACCCAGCAAAGCGAAGAAACCUGAAAUUCUUUUGGUCUCAAAGUGAUUGGGGGAAAGGCACAAAAUGUGCUUGUGAAGAAGAUGAUGAUUGCUGUAUAGUGAGUAAAUCAGUAGCGGAUCGAGAGUGUUUUCUCUAGGCUUCAUACUGCAUUUUGGAUUCCUUUUGCCAUUCAAGAUACCAAGGUGAAGAUAUUUAUCGAAUGGGUUAUUUGUCACAGUUCACCAAAACCAGCAUUGUUAUCCUCAGUCCUCGACCUCUGAAGAUUAUAGUCUGUGACCUAGGAUAGAUCUAUGAAUGAGAAUUUUCCAGUUUGAAUGAGUAAUCUGUGCAACCGCUGUUUGUAUGCUGACAGCAGUAGCUUCAAUGGCAGAGUCUAGUUUCUACCCUGUGAUAUGUUGCUCUUUAUGCAAAGCCCUAACGCACUUGUUUUUU